GAGGGUCUAGCUCAGUGGUAGAGUGCCUACUAGGUAUGCAGGAAGCCCUGGGUUCAAUCCCCAGCACCUCCA
rnacentral:tRNA from 1 species